rnacentral:lncRNA from 1 species
UUAUACUAGCAACUCAUGCUUUAACCACAUAAAUUGGCUUUUCUAACAAAUCCACACCAAUAAGGAAAGGAAUUAUUUUUGAUUCUUUUUCUCUCCAGAUCUUUUCUUUAACCAAGUGUUGUUUUGUUUAGUUCCAAAAACUAAACAAAACUUUCUCCAUACAAACAUUUUCCCUGCAAAAAAGCUUCUUACUUGAUAGAUAACUUUCUUUCUCUCUCUCUUUACUGAUCUCUUCGUUAUCUCCGACCAUCUUAUGCAGUAGUAAGCUCUCUCUCUCUCUCUGUUCUUCUUAUUGAUUUCUUAUUGAUUUCUUAUUGAUUUCGUUAUAUAAGUUAAAAUCUUCAAUUCUGUUGUGGAAGAACUAAAAUUUAGCAAACCAAUUGACUCACCUUGAGCAGACGCGACGCCGAGAAAAGAAAAGAAAAAAAAAACUAGAUCUUCGAUUGAUACAAUGAUACUUGUGUUGUACUGUUGUUGUUGUGAUUGAAGUUGAGAUCCAUUCAAUAAACAACUUGAUGGAGAUAUAAGCCCAACUGCCCAAGCCCAUAGUUACUGACGGAGAUAUAAGCCCAACUGCCCAAGCCCAUAGUUAACGAGCUGCUCGGCUCGGCUCGGGCUCGUGACGAGCUCAAAAACCGGCUCGAACUCGGCUCGUUUAGAUAAAUGAGCGAGCCGAGCCGAGCUUUUAUCGAGCCGAGCCCGAACCGCUCGGCUCAGAUUGCAGCCCUAAUCAUUGCGUCUCUUUCCAAACUCCAACUGCUCGUAAGUUAUAAACCCUUCCCUUUAUUCACACUAUUCUCUACAACUCUCUUUUCUCUCUCUGCCCGUCUACCAACCAAACAUCUGAAAGAUACAUCUUCUCUCUUUCCAUUUCAUCUUCUUUCUUCAACUGUAAUUCCAUAUACUGUAUGGUACAAUUGUUGUUUAAUUAUCCAAACUAAUUUUAUCUGGUACUUCAAUUCAAAUUGGGUUUUGGUUGUGGUUGUAGUUAUUGUCGUCUAAAUAAAUCCCUCGAUAGGACUACCACAAUAACACUAGGAUUAAGUCCAGGUAGUCCAAAAAAACAUUCUAAACAUUGGAUAGAUAUUUCACUGUAUCAAAAUUCCUGCAAUUACAUUUGGUUUGGUUUGCAAUUUUAUUUAACAGAUUUCUGCAAAAUGUAAAUGUAAGUGUAUUUGGUUCUUAGGACAGUCGGAGAAGAUGAUCGGAGUUCAGAAGAGGAAGGAGAUGAGGUUGUGGAAAUGGCUGAGCUACCUGAUUAGAUAGUUGCCUACGUAUCUGAGAAAGAAUUCCUUUCGCCCCAGAAUCAAGCCCACGUAGUUCAUUAUAUAGGUGAUUGGGACAACGGAUAGCUCAUUAAUUGCCCAACGGAAUGGUCAAUUAAUGGGCGGAUAUCUUGGAUCUGACAAUAUAUUGUAACCGUAGAGAAUCAAAACGUAAAGUGUUUGAAUGAGGACGAUGUAGCUCGAGUAAAAGUAGCUCUACGUCGGGUGAGGUCGGAUAAAAAUGGGCUUGUGUCGAGUAAAGGCUUUUGAAGGUCGGAUCGUAUUAGCAUUUGUGGUGACGUAGUGAGCUCGAGUAAGUGUGGUGUUACGUCGAGUAGAGUCGAAUAUACUUGGGUUCACGACGAGUUAUGUGAAUGGGUAUAUACAUAGCCCCUUUUUUAUUUUGAUUUGGGUCGGGAAAUCAAUUUUGUAGAUAUGGUGGACUCAAGUCGAAAUAAAAAAUGUAGAAGAUGAUGAUGUUUUGGUUGGUUGCUUUCUCCCGAUUUACGAUGUAAUGAAUGAUUCUAUUGUGUGCUGCAGUAAAUGAAUUUGCAUUCUCGAGAGAAAAGGAAUGAUUGCGUUUAUCUGGGGAAUGUGAUAUCUUGGCCACGUGGAUUGUGUUUUUGAAUUUUGAAUAUUUAUAAAGUAACUGAAAUGAGAGGGAAAUCAAUGGUUUCGUCGGUUGGAUUUCUUGAAACGUAUCUGGCCAUUGAUUGAAGACGGCUUGGACGGUUGAGAUGAAGUGGUUGGGUUUUAUAAAACCUAACCGCACCGCUAGAAAACCAAGGGUUUCUGUUGCUUAGGAUUUAAGGCUUCUGCAUCUGUUCAGCACAAGGUACUUGCUCUUCUUCUCUUUUGCUCUUCUUCUUCAUUUCUUCUAUUUCGUAUUUUCCUUGCUGUUCUUCAUUGCUUUUUUCUGGUUUCAUUCCUUGUUCUUCAAGUGGUGGUUGAGUAAUUUGAUCUUUCUUUUGUAUCUGUUUAAUUUCCUUGUUUACCUGUUGAAAUCUUCGUUGAUUGGCUGCUGGUUUUGGUUAUUUCCUCCAUUGUUGAAGCUUUUUGAAGCUUUCUGUGUCUGUAAGUGGUAGUUGUACUUGGUAGAUAGUGUUUGUUGCUUGAUUUUCCAUAGUUGUAGCUGUACAUCACUGUAAAGAAUGAGUGAUAGGGGGUCGGAAAGUAUAAGUGAUAACGACGGAGAUGUUCAGGCUAGUGUUAGUGGUAGCCGAGUUGAAGCAAAUGAUGAAGAGACAACUAGUGGAAGGGUCCUUAGUGUGGAAGAGGCUCGGAGGUCGUUUCCAGAAAUUCGAGCUGAGUUUAACAUUAGGAUACCCGACCUUGAAAUGUAUAGGGUACCUGAUAGGCUUUUCGACCUAUGUGGGGAUACAACCUCGACGUUAAUAUGUCUUGGUCAGUUGAGGGGUGGCCUGCGUCUUCCAUUUAGCAAGUUCGUAUGUGAUGUGUUAAAUCAUUACGACGUAGCUCCCAUUAUGAUGCCCACCAGCUUUUGGACCUCGAUGCUAAUAUUUGAGGAGUUAAACAGGCUGUAUAAAGCCGAUAUUGUAAAGUGUGACGUCGUUGCAUAUUUCAUGUGUGUGACUGGUCGGAGUGGGGAUUACGUUUGCUCCUUAAAUAGGAGACGGAGUUGUGGCCCGGCAAAGCUGUUCAAUCCUCCGACUUCGAACGAUGGUUGGAAAAACUCCCCUGUAUAUAGAAUCCGGGGUCAGUUUGUCCAGCCCAGUGCGUACCUAUGUCGAUAUGCGAUUCCGAGCAUAGGUGAACGUAUGUCUUGUAACUUUACCUUAUAUUUUAAAAGUUGAAUUUUUGCUGACCUGCCUUGUUUGUUUCGUAGGUCAAACAAAAGAUUAUAACGAGCAUAUCGACGGUCGUUUGCAUCCGAGCAAUAUAACUGAUUUUGCUGAGAAAUCUUGGGCCGAGAAGAGGAAGUUGUUACCUCAUUUGGCACGUUUCUUUUGUGAGCCCCGAGUUAAAUUUAGCAAAGGUGCCGAGGUGGAAGCUGGUGCCUCCAGCGCUCCCGCACCCAAAAGAGUCAGAAGGAAGAAAGGGGAACUUGCUAUAGCUCUGCCGGUUGCGGAGUUGGUUUCAGGUCGACCAGGAGAUUUACCCAUCGAGGCUGUUGACGCAUUACCCAUGGCUCCACCCAAGAAGUCUUCAGAAUUUCCCCUUACCGGUGGAUCCACUCAUCUGGCGAGUAAGGUCCCGAGUGCCCCGAACCUGAGUGACUUUUUUGGAUCGAGGUUGAUCGAACCUGUUCCUCAAUCUAAGAAGAGGAAAGCCCCAGCUAGGGGAUCUGAGCCUGGGACUGCUUCCAAGGUUGAUAAGCCAACUCAGGACACGGGGAAGGGUAAGGCACAAGCCCCUUCUUCUAAGUCGACUAAGACAUUGGCUAUUGAUGUGAGUGAAGAUUUUUCCGCUGGUGAGGCGAAUAGGUUCUCGCCUGUGUUUCCAUGUCGGGAGGGUUAUGUGAAGGCUGAUGACUCAGCUUGGGAUGAUAAGGAGAUCAGCCUUUCGCUGAUGGAGAAUUGCUUUCUCUUUGAGGAUGCAAAGAAAGUCCAGCCCCAGUCUCUUGUGGAGGAUUCCCAAGAAUUUGCAUCUUGCGCAUAUAGGGUGAGCUUUACUUAUCCAGUUAUGAUUUGGUUUAUCCUUUUACCUAUCAUGUUAUUUGUUUUUUUUUUUUGAUUCUUCUUCUUCUGAGUGCCAGAUGAAUGUGAUCCAUAACAAAUGGAUCACAAAGCUCGAGAAUGCAAGGAAGAAGGCUGAAGCUCUGCAAAAGGCCAACGCUGAUAACAAGGCAUUGCGAGCUGAAGUCCAGAGUCUGAAGGGUAAGCUCGAGGCUUCCCAGAAAGAGUGCGCCGAAUAUGGUGCAAAUCUGGAUGAGGCCCAAAGUUUUGUGAUGACUCUUCAAGGUCAGCUUGCUGAUGUGAAUGCGAGCUGGGAAGCUGAUGCCCAAAAGUCUGUUAAGAGUAUCAUGGGUUGGCGGCAGAUAUCUUAUGCCUGGGAGGAGAGGUGCCUUCGUCGUGAGGCUCAUCUCGCGUCAUUAGUGGAAAACUUUGAUGCGUCUGCAGAUAAGGACGCCAUAAAAGUUGCCGCUCUUGAGCGUUUUCGUCUCGACACAGAAGAGGAGAAUAACGCCACGGCUCGUGCCUCGACUGCGGAGACUGAGAAGGAACCCUCUCCUCGAGCUGAAGAGAAUUCUGGUGCAGCGACCCCAGAUACUCCUGGGGAGCGAACUUGAUACCUUGUUGUAUUUGAAAUUCUGCUGAGAGUUGUGAGGUUUUCUCUUUAUGUUGUAAAACAUGAGUAAGGAAUUCCGACCUCGGUUGGCCUUACGUCUGCUAUAUUUUGCAAUCCAACUAUUUUGAAUUUAUGUUUGUACGUUGAAUUGAAAAUGUGUGUUUACCGUUACAACUUUCUGUUGCAUGUGGCUCGAGAUCAAUUGCCUUGCAGUAUGAGCUCUUUGUUGCUUUAUUACUUACCCUUGCUGUCGACACUUGAAAGUGAUCAAGGUAGGUAGAGUUUUAGAAAUUUCGAGUUCCAAGGUCGAGGCACCUGUUCCCCUUCAGCAUCAAUUAGUGUGUAUGCGCCAUUUCCUAAGUUGGUUUUGACAAUGUAUGGUCCUUCCCAAUUAGGAUUUAGCUUUCCGUCCCCAGGUUUCUUUGUAUUUGAAAAGACUUGUCUGAGGACGAGGUCUCCACUUUGGAAUUCCCUUGACCGGACCUUUUGGUUGUAGCUUCUUUUUAAAACUUGUUGGUAACGGGCAGUGGUGAUUAAGGUUUGGUCUCGUUUUUCUUCGAGCAUGUCGACUUCGUGUGCCCAUAAAUCUUCAUUUUCCUUGGAUUGUACUAGCUCAGAUCGAGUAGUGAGGAAAUUUAGUUCAGUUGGUAUGAUAGCUUCUGUGCCAUAACAUAAGGCAAAUGGAGACAUUCCUGUAGAUGUGCGUGGUGUCGUUCUGUACGCCCAUAGUACCCUAUCGAGUUCCUCUAUCCACUUCUCUUUGUGUGCUUCAAGUUUUUUCUUAAGAUUAUUCAUGAUGGUCUUGUUGGUGGCUUCAGCCUGACCGUUGCUUUGGGCGUAGCGAGGUGUUGAAAGUGCGUGGUUGAUUCUCCAAUCGAGGUAGAAUUCCUCGAUUAUAUUUCCACAGAAUUGUUGACCAUUGUCGGUGACCAGAGUAUGUGGUAGUCCGAAUCUGGUGAUUAUAAACUUCCAGAUGAAACUUUUAACAUCUUGUUGGCGUAUUCGUCGUAGAGGUAUUGCUUCGACCCAUUUGGUGAAGUAGUCUGUUGCCACAAGUAAGAAUCGUUUUUUUGAUCUGUCCCUCAAGAUGGGACCCACAAUAUCUAACCCCCAUAUUGCAAAAGGCCAAGGGCUUGAGAUUGUCUUGAGGUCCCGAGCUGGUUGGUGAAUUAAUGGAGCAAAUCUUUGGCACUUGUCACAGUGUUGGACAAACUUGUCUGCAUCUGACUGCAUGUAUGGCCAAAAGUAACCUUGAUUUCUUGCUUUUUGGGCUAAAGACCUAGCCCCUGCAUGGUUUCCGCAUUCCCCAUGGUGGAUUUCAGCUAGAAUUGUGUGCGCUUGUUUUGGUGGGAGGCACCUCAAGUAUGGCCCUCGAGUUGACUUUCGGUAGAGUCUUUUGUCGAGUAGAAUAUAGCUUUUAGCUUUUCGCUCGAGUUUACGUAAUUCGAAAUCAUCAUCUGGGUACGUUCCCUUUAAGUAAUUGAUGAUUGGUCCCAUCCAGGAGUUUUCUAUUUCACUUGGUGGGAUAUCUAUGAAGUCUGAUACUUCAUUUACCUGAUGUACCUGUGCCUCAUAUGCCGGGGCGGACUGUAUGUCAAUUUGUAUUGUCCGCGGUGAAUCAGUGUCGAUUUGUGAGGCUAGAUAUGCCAAGCUAUCGGCGUGACGAUUAUCAUCCCGUGGGACAUGUUGAAUUUCCCAUUUUUUGAAAUAGCUUAGUAAUUUUUUGGUAUGCUCCAAGUACAUCUUUAGAGUAUUUUCCCUUGUUUCGUAGUCGCCUAGAAUUUGGCUGACUACCAAUUGUGAGUCACUUAGGAUUCGUAGUUCCUUUACUUGUAAAGCUAUGGCCAUUUGUAUGCCUGUGUGGAGUGCCUCGUAUUCUGCAUCAUUAUUGCUUGAGGUGAAAUUUAGUCUGACAGACUUUUCUAUGAUGGCAUUCUCUGGUGAGAUUAGCGUGGCUCCUACUCCUGAACCGUUGAGGUUUUUGGAGCCAUCGACAUAAAGUUUCCAUAUUGGAAUAUUUGUUAUUGUCUGGUCGAUGAUCUCAUUAUCUGGUAUCCAUGAGUUGUCGUCAAUGGCAUAAUCCACCAGGAGGUCGGCUACGAUUUGCCCUUUUCUGCUACUCCGCGGGGUGAAAAUGAGCUCGUGGUCUCCGAGUUCUUGAGCCCAUUUUGCCAUUCUUGUAGAUUUGUUUCUGCUUUCUAACACUUGUCGAAUAGGUGCAUCUGUUAGGACUCUUAUUUUGUGUGACUGGAAAUACGGCUUCAACUUUCGUGAGGCGAAAAGUAAGGCUAAACCUACCUUUUCGAGGCUUGAAUAUCGAGCUUCAGAAGACAUUAAUGUCUUACUGAUGAAGUAUAUUGGUCUUUCUAUACCUCUCUCAUCUCGGAACAAUACUCCGCUAAUUGCGUGUUCCGAUGUGCCAAGGUAGAGCCCUAGCACGUCGCCAUCUUGUGGUACCGUGAUGACUGGUGGAGUAGCCAAGUAUAACUUGAGCUCGUCGAACGCUUGUUGGCAUUCAGGUGUCCAGUUAUAAGUUGACCCUUUCUUUAGUAGUUGAAGUAAUGGGCGUUGUUUGUCUGAUGCCCGGGCUAUGAACCUGUUUAAGGCUGCUAUCAUGCCGUUAAGUUUUUGAACUUGUUUCUUAGUUUUUGGACUCGGCAUCUCAAGUAUGGCUUUGAUUUUUUCUGGGUUGGCUUCGAUACCUCUUUGUGUGAUGAGGUAACCCAAGAAUUUUCCAGAUGCUACGCCGAAUAAACAUUUUUCCGGAUUGAGCUUCAUGUUGUACUCAUUAAGUCGGAGGAAUGUUUUUUCGAGGUCGGUGAUAUGGGUGGCUUUAUGCUUGCUUUUGACAAUCAUAUCAUCAACAUACACUUCCAUUGUUUUGCCAAUCAUAUCAUGGAACAUUUUUGUUGCGAGUCGUUGAUAUGUGGCUCCUGCAUUUCUUAAUCCAAAUGGCAUGACUGUGUAACAAAAGGUACCUUGCUCAGUGAUGAACGCGGUUUUCUCUUGAUCUUCAUCUGCUAAUUUUAUUUGAUUGUAACCUGAAUAGCCAUCCAUUAAGGAAAUUAGUUCGUGACCUGCUGUUGAGUCAACGAGUUUGUCUAUUCGAGGAAGAGGAAAGCUAUCUUUCGGGCAAGCUUUGUUAAGGUCCGUGAAGUCGAUACAUACUCUGACUUUCCCGUUAGGUUUUAUGACUGCGACAAUAUUGGACAGCCAGUCAGGGUAUGCGACCUCACGAAUGAAUUUUGCAUUUUUUAGCUUUUGUAUCUCUGCGUUAACCGCAUUGGCGAGAUGAGCUGCUAGUUUGCGAGCCUUUUGUUUGACAGGCUUUUUGUUAGUAUCUACAUUUAACCUGUGACAAACAAUAGUGGGAUUGAUCCCUGGCAUGUCGGUAUAAGCAAAAGCAAAGACAUUUUUAUUCAUUUUAAGAGUAGCAAUGAGUUGCUCUUUUACAAUGGGGUCCAAGUUAGCCCCUACAUAGACAUAUUUAGGAUCAUUAUCCGAUCCUAUAUUGACCUUUUCACCUUGUUCAAUGACGGGUGGGUCGGAUGGAUGAACAAUUUCCUUGCCAUUUUCAGCUUGUGAUAUCUCAUUCUCAUUGGGUUGAGUGGAUGCUUCGACUGCCUUGCAGAUUGCAGCGAUCAUAUUGACAGUGGGCUUAGAUGAGCUCGCCACCGUUGUGGGGGCAUCCACUUUAUUAGGGAGUGGGAUGACCUCUGGUAUUGCAUGACAGCCAUGUGCUUCAAUCUGAUCACCUCGUAAUUCCAUGAUGCCUCUAGGGCCAGGAAACUUGAUGACCUGAUGAUAUGUCGAAGGUACUGCCUUCAUCUUAUGUAUCCACUUCCGUCCCAGAAUUGCAUUGAACUGAGCGGGGACAUCAAGGACGAAGAAGGUGCAAUACACCGUGACUUCGUCUUCAUUUUCACCAGUUGCUACAGGGAGGCAGAUUUCACCUUUUGCUUCAGUUUCAGUUGAGUUGAAUGCAAAAAGAGUGACUUGUGGUUUUUGAAGGACUGAGUCGGGCAUCUGCAUCUGACUGUAUGCCUUGUUGAAGAUUACAUCACAAGAACUUCCGGGGUCGAUAAGUACUUUUUUCAUUAUCCAUCCCCCAAUGUUGAUGUGGACUACCAAUGCGUCAUUAUGCGGGAGACAUACUUUUUUAAGGUCGAAAUCAGAGAAGAUUAAAGCAUUGUUACCUGUGACUUGUUUAGCCACGAUUGCUUUGUGAGUCAAAUGGAAGGUAUGGUGAAUGUGAUGAAUCUUUUGUUUCUUUGAACGAGCUGACCAUUCAGGAGGUCGGGCAUCCAUAAUCAUGUUGAUGGUUCCCUUGGGCUGCUUACCUUUCUCUGUUGAGGUCUUUUGUCGUUUUGCAUCUAUUUUGCUGCGGAGGUCGGGUUCGUUUUCGGAGAGGAAGUCAUCGAGGUGACCCUCUUCCUUGAGCUUGUGACAGUAAGCUCUCAAAAUACGGCAAUCUUCAGUGAGAUGGUGGCGGCACUUAUGGAACUUGCAGUAUGGUUUCCCUUCAAUUGGUUCCAGGUCGUGAACUUGAGGCUGGAAGUAAUCUUCAUCUUUGAUGAGGUCGAAGAGCUGAUUAUAUGAGCACUUGAAGGGACUCGGAGUUUUGGAUUUUGCAUUAGGUGCGUGCUUUCCUUUGUAUUCUGAUCGAUUCGGCUUCGGUUUUGAGUGAGUGGUCUCUGUUGUUUGGACAACAGCCACUCGUUCCUUGGAUUUUGUGAGGGCAUCCUCUAGUUUGAUGUACUUGUCAGCACGUACAUACAAGUCUUCCAACGUUGCAGGGGCAUCUAGGAUAAUAUUCUUUCCUAGUGCUGUAUUGGGGUUGACAGCAGAAAUGAAGGCCAAGAGACAUGAGUAUUCAUCUGGAUUCUCAGCUCGCAGGCAUUCCUUUUUGAAUCUUGCCAUGAACUUCUUUGUUGUUUCAGUUUCAUCUUGUUUGAGACGGAAAAGGGCCGUAACCUCGAUUCUUCUCCUUUUGUUGUGGAUAUAUUGGGUGAAAAAAAGUGACUCCAGUUGGUCGUACGAGGUAAUGGAUCUUUCCGGUAGUCGAUGAUACCAGUCUAUUGCACUCCCACGGAGUGAUGCAGAAAACAAUCGGCAGAAAAUGUCUUUGUACUUUGGCCACAGGGCCAUGCUUGUUUUGAACUGUAGGACGUGGUCCAUUGGGUCUCCACUUCCGUCGUAAGUGGUGAACUUUGGAGGCAUGAAGUUUGGGGGGGGGUUCCUGUUGUAGGAGGUCUUCGUGAAGGGGUUCUAUCUUAUAACAUUCUAGGGUUGUUGAGGCUACCUUUUGGGCUGUGUUAGCCUUAAGCGAGUCUUGAUGAUUUUUAUCAAGCUUUUCCGAUAGCUGUAGUAUUCUGUCGUGAGCAGCUUGAAGGUCAGCCAUGGUGGGUGCAGCGGUGUUACUGGAGGUGGGUAGGGCAGGGUUGUUGACAGUUGUUGUGACUUCUUCAGCGUUGAGCGCAUUUGCAGCAACUCCGUUGAGCGGUGUGCCAUUAGUGGUGGCGGUGGUGCUCUUGAGGUGAUUGUUUUCAGCCACCAGCCUGUUGAUCUGUUCUUGUUGAUCAGCCAUCUGCUUCUGGAGUUGUUCGAAUUGCUCGCUAGUGAUUGCUGCCAUGGUCGGUUGUCAGGUUAUUGUUCGUUCACGAAUCAGUCGGCGCCAAUGUAAAUGUAAGUGUAUUUGGUUCUUAGGACAGUCGGAGAAGAUGAUCGGAGUUCAGAAGAGGAAGGAGAUGAGGUUGUGGAAAUGGCUGAGCUACCUGAUUAGAUAGUUGCCUACGUAUCUGAGAAAGAAUUCCUUUCGCCCCAGAAUCAAGCCCACGUAGUUCAUUAUAUAGGUGAUUGGGACAACGGAUAGCUCAUUAAUUGCCCAACGGAAUGGUCAAUUAAUGGGUGGAUAUCUUGGAUCUGACAAUAUAUUGUAACCGUAGAGAAUCAAAACGUAAAGUGUUUGAAUGAGGACGAUGUAGCUCGAGUAAAAGUAGCUCUACGUCGGGUGAGGUCGGAUAAAAAUGGGCUUGUGUCGAGUAAAGGCUUUUGAAGGUCGGAUCGUAUUAGCAUUUGUGGUGACGUAGUGAGCUCGAGUAAGUGUGGUGUUACGUCGAGUAGAGUCGAAUAUACUUGGGUUCACGACGAGUUAUGUGAAUGGGUAUAUACACAAAAUAAUUUAAAUUUUUUUAACUUCAUUAUUUCAUUGAAAAACCAGAAAUCAUUGUUAUUGUUUUUUUGUUGACAACUUCAUAGUUAGUAUUCUUUGGUUGGAUGUUAUCAUCUCAUGACGAUUAGUUGUUUUUCGUUGACAACUUCAUGUCUUUCUAAUGAUUAGAGAUUAUGGAUUGUGACAGAGUAUUAUCUCUCUUUUUCUUAAAAUGGAACUAUUUAUUGCACAUUACUGAAAGUCGUAAAUCUUUUCUAUUAUUUUUAUCACAUUCAAUUGUGUAAGGACUGUCAUUCCUUCUCCUUGCAGUAUUAACCAAUACAACAAAUCUUUGAGAUAAAUCUUUUGUAUUAUUUUUGUACUCAUCAGUCGAGUUACUAAUGAGGCUACUGAACACUACAAUAAAAAAAACGUAAGACUGUUACUAUAGAUGAUUUGUUGAUUGGCAUGACAAAAAUUGGGCUUGGUCAUCAUGCAGAAAUGCUUUCUACAUACAUUCAACAAUACUAUGAUCAUUCCAUCGAUGUGGGCAACUCUACAGGCAAGAGGGUAGAGCUAAAUGGUCUUUAAUAAAUUUCUACAUGUAUCAAACAUUAUGGAAAGUAUAAAACUUGUUCAGACAAAUCCGAAUCCCAAAUAUAGAUGCAGAUAUAUGUAUUGAAAGAAGUGUAUUCCAUCAUUUGUUUUCUAUUGUAGAGUAAAUAUAGGAACAAUUGUCAGGUGAAUUUAUGCAGAUGCCUGUUCCACAAUGCAGAUAAUCAUUGCUCGUUAUUCCUUCAACUUGAU